CACUAACACACUAAGGCAAGACGUUGUCAUCAGCCAGGUCGCUGGGAGCCACUGAAGAGCAGAACCUGCCUUCCAUGACAUCAAUGUGCCCAUGGGGAUUUGAGGCUGGCCAAGGUGCCAACCUUAGCCCACAGUCAUGCCUGGGCUUUUACACUUGUCUGGCGUCUGUACCUUUGGGGACAGUACUGUGUGGAAUGACUGGAAACUGUUGCUUGUACCAGCUGACCACAGUCAGAACUGUUCUGGGAAAUGAUGGCCCAUUUGGUAAUGGAAAGCAAUGUUCUCCUGCCCACUCUCUCCCAACCUCCACACCAGGCACAGCCUGGGCCUCACUUGCUGACUCAGGCAGAUGGCUUAACCUCUCUGUGCCUCUCUUUCUAACCUAUAAAAUGACGAUUAAAAUAAUGCUUGUCUCAAGCACUGUUGGGAGAAUGAAAUGAGACUGUAUGUGCAAAGGGCCAAGCACAGUGCCUGGUACUCGGUAGGGCCCUUUCUCCACUGCCUUUCCUAUGUCCUCUAAAGGAGCUUCUUUCAGCGUGGUGGCUUAAUGGAAUGAUUUCCAUUCACUCUGUAUCUGUGAGGAUUCAAAGAAUUACACCGAAGAGUCCUUGAUGGGAGAGGGUUGGAGCAAAGGCGGGUUGAAUUGCUCCAUAUAAAAGACUAACAGAAACUUCCAAGGGUCCUUGGAAGGUCAAAAGGAAAGAGGUAUGAUGAUGUUGCCUCUUGAGGGAUGGUAGAGUCUGGAAGAGGGGAGAAGAGGAGACAGUGUCUGUGGACAACAUGGCAGUGGGUGGAACCGGGAGCACUAGAAUGGCUGGCAGAGGAGGUCCCUGAGGAGGAUUGGCCAAGGAAGCACAGGGCAGUGGUGUGAACUGUUCCCUCUCCUGUACUUCACAGUCAUCGGUCAUCCCCUGCUCCUACCAAAGGGUAAAUGUUGGUUCCGUCAGCUGUCUCGGGUCAGUGCUUCUUUAGGGAGUAUGGGGAGAGGGACACAUCAUGUGUGGGAUGAGGCCGCAUGGAAAGCAGACGACAUCUGCAGGGGACACAUCUAUGAGGGUGUCUAUCACAAUUCUCCCAGUCUAAACAAGAAAUGAGAUUGGGAGACAUGUUGCUCUGCAGAAUUCCCAGGGGUUGGAACAGGAGGAUGAAAAAAGGCUUGAAAUUCUGACUGCAAGUGGGAAGAGAGCACCAGGCAGUUGACCCGGACGCUAAAGGAAAAGCUUCGUGAAAGUUUCUUGUAGUUUUCUUUGAUCUGUAUGACAGUUCAUUGUCCCGAAGAGCUAUGUCAUCCUUGGAUUUGAUGGCUUCACUGUGUACUCCUUUUUAUUUGAAAGAAAAAAGAAGCCAACUGAAAAGAGAUCUGAGCGCUGAUCCCCGUGAGAAAGGACAAAGUCACAUCCAAAGAAGCCGUUAUGCUGCCUUUGUUCCUGGACUCUACAGAGAUCCAUAUCCAGUGUGAAACAUCUCUCUGAUCACGUAUUAGAAGUCAGCAAAUAUCAUUGAAUGCAUGAAAUGAAUCAAUCCCAUGGAAAUUUAGUUUUAAACGAAGCUUUAUUGUGAAAGAUUUCAAGCAUUGGGAAGUAAAUUGCUGGGAGCAAGCCCCCCAAAAUCUGGCUAUAAACCAGCCCCAAAACUGCCCAUAAACAAAAUCUCUGCAGCACUGUGACAUGUUCAUAAUGGCACUAACGCCCAAGCUGGAAGGUUGUGGGUUUACGGGAAUGAGGGCAAGGAACACCUGGCCCGCCCAGGGCGGAAAACCGCUUAAAGGCAUUCUUAAGCCACAAACAAUAGCAUGAGCGAUCUGUGUCUUAAGGGCAUGUUCCUGCUGCAGUUAAUUAGCCCAACCUAGUCCUUUAAUUUGGCCCAUCCCUUCAUUUCCCAUAAGGGAUACUUUUAGUUAAUUUAAUAUCUAUAGAAACAAUGCUAGUGACUGGUUUGCUGUUAAUAAAUAUGUGGGUAAAUCUCUGUUCAGGGCUCUCAGCUCUGAAGGCUGUGAGACCCCUGAUUUCCCACUUCACACCU
rnacentral:lncRNA from 10 species